CUUUUACAAUGAAGAGUUUGAUCCUGGCUCAGGAUGAACGCUAGCUACAGGCUUAACACAUGCAAGUCGAGGGGCAUCAGGAAGAAAGCUUGCUUUCUUUGCUGGCGACCGGCGCACGGGUGAGUAACACGUAUCCAACCUGCCCUUUACUCGGGGAUAGCCUUUCGAAAGAAAGAUUAAUACCCGAU
rnacentral:rRNA from 1 species